rnacentral:tRNA from 1 species
UCUCGGACUGGUGGACGGUGCCGCUGGUCCUGCUCGGAGUGGGGGUGACGCUCUGCGCGGCCAACGCUCUGGUGAUCAUCUCGCUGUUCGACUUCC